rnacentral:rRNA from 1 species
UACGAAGGGGGCUAGCGUUGCUCGGAAUUACUGGGCGUAAAGGGCUCGUAGGCGGCCAACUAAGUCGGAUGUGAAAUCCCCAGGCUUAACCUGGGAACUGCAUCCGAUACUGGAUGGCUUGAAUCCGGGAGAGGGAUGCGGAAUUCCAGGUGUAGCGGUGAAAUGCGUAGAUAUCUGGAGGAACACCGGUGGCGAAGGCGACUUCCUGGCCUGUUCUUAACGCUGAGGCGCGAAAGCUAGGGUAGCAAACGGG